GUGACCAAAACUAACGAAAAAAAACAUCUGAUCGUGAGACGAAACCAAGAACAUCGGUGAGGUAAUAGCUUAUCAAGGCGAUAAUCAGUAGUUGGUCUGAGAGGAUAAUCAGCCACACUGGGACUGAGACACGGUCCAGACUCCUACGAGCAG
rnacentral:ncRNA from 1 species